rnacentral:rRNA from 1 species
AUUGAACGCUGGCGGCAGGCUUAACACAUGCAAGUCGAGCGCGCCGCGGACGGGUGAGUAAUUUCUGGGAAACUGCCUGUUGGUGGGGGAUACCUACUGGAACCCGUAGCUCAUACCGCAUACCAUCCGAUGUUCCCCGAUGGGUUUAGCUAGUAGGUGGGGUAAUGGCUCACCUAGGCGACGAUCCCUAGCUGGGCUGAGAGGAUGACCAGCCAAACUGGAACUGAGAAACGGACAAGACUCCUACGGGAGGCAGAAGUGGGGAAUAUUGCACAAUGGGCGCAAGCCUGAUGCAGCAAUGACGCGUGUGUGAAGAAGGCCUUCGGGUUGUAAAGCACUUUCAGCGAGGAGGCGGUAAACGAAGAAGAAGCAAAGGCUAACUCCGUGCCAGCCGCCGCGGUAAUAG